UUCCGGUUGAUCCUGCCGGAGGCCAUUGCUAUCGGGGUCCGAUUUAGCCAUGCUAGUCGUACGAGUUUACACUCGUGGCGAAUAGCUCCGUAACACGUGGCCAAACCACCCUCCAGAGAACCAUAACCUCGGGAAACUGAGGCUAAUAGUUCAUACCCGUCCCACGCUGGAAUGCCGGGACGCGCAAACGUUCCGACGCUGGAGGACGUGGCUGCGGCCGAUUAGGUUGACGGUGGGGUAACGGCCCACCGUGCCGAUAAUCGGUACGGGUUGUGAGAGCAAGAACCCGGAGACGGAAUCUGAGACAAGAUUCCGGGCCCUACGGGGCGCAGCAGGCGCGAAACCUUUACACUGCACGCGAGUGCGAUAAGGGGACCCCGAGUGCGAGGGCAUACAGUCCUCGCUUUUCAGCACCGUAGGGAGGUGCUGGAAUAAGAGCUGGGCAAGACCGGUGCCAGCCGCCGCGAUAAUACCGGCAGCUCAAGUGAUGGCCGAUCUUAUUGGGCCUAAAGCGUUCGUAGCCGGCCACGCAAGUCCAUCGGGAAAUCCGUCAGCCCAACUGACGGGCGUCCGGUGGAAACUGCGUGGCUUGGGACCGGAAGACCCGAAGGGUACGUCUUGGGUAGGAGUGAAAUCCCGUAAUCCUGGACGGACCGCCGAUGGCGAAAGCACUUCGGGAA
rnacentral:rRNA from 1 species